GGUGAACGCUGGCGGCGUGCCUAAUACAUGCAAGUCGAGCGAACAGACGAUGAGCUUGCGCCCCUAACGUUGGCGGCUGACGGGUGGGUAACACGUGGAUAACCUACCUCUAAUACGGGGGUAACUUCGUGAAACCGGAGCUAAUACCAGCGAAUAUAUUCAACCGCAUGGUUCAAUAGUGAUAGACAGUUUUGGUGUCUCUUAUAGCUGGUUCCGCGCCACAUUAGCUAGUUGGUAAGGUAACGGCAUACCAAGGCAACGAUGCGUAGCCGACCUGAGAGGGUGAUCAGCCACACUGGAACUGAGACACGGUCCAGACUCCUACGGGAGGCAGCAGUAGGGAAUAUUCGGCAAUGGGCGCAAGCUUGACCGAGCAAUGCCGCGUGAGUGAUGAAGGUCUUCGGAUCGUAAAACCCUGUUAUUAGGAAAGAAAAAAUGUAUGAGUAACUCCCGACGUUCUGACGGUACCUAAACAGAAAGCACCGGCUAACUACGUG
rnacentral:rRNA from 1 species